rnacentral:rRNA from 1 species
GACGAAUGCUGGCGGCGCGCUUAAUACAUGCAAGUCGAGCGAGAACCAGAGCUUCGGCUCUGGGGACAGCGGCGAACGGGUGAGUAACACGUGAGUAAUCUGCCCUCGGCACCGGGAUAGCCCGGGGAAACCCGGAUUAAUACCGGAUAGCCUCUCGAGCUCUCGGGCUCGUGAGAAAAGGUAGCUUCGGCCUCUGGCCGGGGAGGAGCUCGCGGCGGAUUAGCUUGUUGGUGGGGUAACGGCUCACCAAGGCGACGAUCCGUAGCUGGUCUGAGAGGACGAGCAGCCACACUGGGACUGAGACACGGCCCAGACUCCUACGGGAGGCAGCAGUAGGGAAUCUUGCGCAAUGGGCGAAAGCCUGACGCAGCGACGCCGCGUGCGGGAAGAAGGCCUUCGGGUUGUAAACCGCUUUCAGGAGGGACGAAGCCACUCGGGUUAAUAGCCCAGAGGGUGACGGUACCUCCAGAAGAAGCCCCGGCUAACUACGUGCCAGCCGCCGCCGUAAGAC